UACGAGUGCCCCAAGCGUUAUCCGGAAUUAUUGGGCGUAAAGGGUGCGUAGGAGGUGGUAUUAGUCUAGCGUUAAAUCCUUCGGCUUAACCGAAGAAUCGCGCAGGAAACGGUACCACUAGAGGAUGUGAGAGGUGUGUAGAACUCAUGGAGUAGGGGUGAAAUCCGUUAAUAUCGAUGGGGAAUACCAAAAGCGUAGGCAGCACACUGGCACAUUUCUGACUCUGAAGCACGAAAGCGUGGGUAGCGAAUGGG
rnacentral:rRNA from 1 species